UACGGGGGGGGCAAGCGUUGUUCGGAAUUACUGGGCGUAAAGGGUUCGUAGGUGGCCUGCUAAGUCAGACGUGAAAUCCCUCAGCUUAACUGGGGAACUGCGUCUGAUACUGGAUGGCUUGGAUUUGGGAGAGGGAUGCGGAAUUCCAGGUGUAGCGGUGAAAUGCGUAGAUAUCUGGAGGAACACCGGUGGCGAAGGCGGCAUCCUGGACCAAUAUUGACGCUGAGGAGCGAAAGCCAGGGGAGCAAACGGG
rnacentral:rRNA from 1 species